AGGAAUAUUGGUCAAUGGGCGCAAGCCUGAACCAGCCAUGCCGCGUGCAGGAAGACGGCCCUAUGGGUUGUAAACUGCUUUUAUACCGGAAUAAACCCCUUUACGUGUAAAGGGUUGAAUGUACGGUAGGAAUAAGGAUCGGCUAACUCCGUGCCAGCAGCCGCGGUAAUACGGAGGAUCCAAGCGUUAUCCGGAUUUAUUGGGUUUAAAGGGUGCGUAGGCGGCCUGUUAAGUCAGGGGUGAAAGACGGUGGCUCAACCAUCGCAGUGCCUUUGAUACUGACGGGCUUGAAUGCAGCUGAGGUAGGCGGAAUGUGGCAAGUAGCGGUGAAAUGCAUAGAUAUGCCACAGAACACCAAUUGCGAAGGCAGCUUACCAAAGUGUGAUUGACGCUGAGGCACGAAAGCGUGGGGAUCAAA
rnacentral:rRNA from 1 species